rnacentral:sRNA from 1 species
ACUUCGAUCAACAUUCUUAUCCAGUGGAACAUUCGAAUCAAGCGGAAAACACAAGUUCAAAAGCGUGUAACCUCAGUUCUAAAGGUUUUGAAUUUAUCAGGUGGCUAUGCCGAACUUCUUAAGAUUAGCUCACAAGAUGUCACAGUAGCCUGCAGACUAUGGAUACGAAAUU